UCAAACUUGGUCAUUUAGAGGAAGUAAAAGUCGUAACAAGGUUUCCGUAGGUGAACCUGCGGAAGGAUCAUUACUGAGUGGCUGGAGCUCCCCGCUUGCGGGGGGCCGGUUACCCGACCUUUUGUCAUGUGGGCCGCGCGUCCGGACCUCUCGGGGGCCGGCGCCGGCAUCUUCAGGUUCGGCGGAAGCGGUGGGGUGCCUCCUGGCGCCCUGCCCGCCGCCGGUCGUAUUCUCCAACUCUUGUUGUGUAACGGAUGAAGUCUGACGUGAAAACAAACCAAAAAAAAGCAAAACUUUCAACAACGGAUCUCUUGGCUCUGGCAUCGAUGAAGAACGCAGC
rnacentral:misc_RNA from 1 species